AAAAAAUCAAGAUUAUCUACUGGACAAAAAAAAAAUUUUACCAUAUGGUGUUGGACCAGUUAUUGACUGUGAAAUUGACGAUGAAGAUAAUGAACCCGAUUAUUCAACAUAUGCACGCAAAAGACCAAAAAAAAUUAAAACUCGCC